AGCGUGCGCAGGCGGUUAUGUAAGACAGAUGUGAAAUACCCCGGGCUCAACCUGGGAACUGCAUUAGUGACUGCAUAGCUGGAGUACGGCAGAGGGGGAUGGAAUUCCGCGUGUAGCAGUGAAAUGCGUAGAUAUGCGGAGGAACACCGAUGGCGAAGGCAAUCCCCUGGGCCUGUACUGACGCUCAUGCACGAAAGCGUGGGGAGCAAACAGGAUUAGAUACCCCUAGU
rnacentral:rRNA from 1 species